CAUAUCAAUAAGCGGAGGAAAAGAAACCAACAGGGAUUGCCUUAGUAACGGCGAGUGAAGCGGCAGAAGCUCAAAUUUGAAAUCUGGCACCUACCGGUGUCCGAGUUGUAAUUUGAAGAGGCAACUUUGGGAGGGUCCCGGUCUAUGUUCCUUGGAACAGGACAUCGCAGAGGGUGAGAAUCCCGUUCUCGGUCGGAUGUGGCCCUCCCUUACAAAAGUGUCUUCUACGAGUCGAGUUGUUUGGGAAUGCAGCUCAAAAUGGGUGGUAAAUUUCAUCUAAGGCUAAACAUUGGCGAGAGACCGAUAGCGCACAAGUAGAGUGAUCGAAAGAUGAAAAGCACUUUGAAAAUAGAGUCAAAAAGUACGUGAAAUUGUUGAAAGGGAAGCGCUUGAGACCAGACUCAGCGGUAGACAAACAGCUGCCCUUCUGGGUAGUGCACUUGUCUGCCGGUGGGCCAGCAUCGGUUGGGGUGGUGGGAUAAAGGCUAGGGCAAUGUGACUCCUCUGAGGAGUGUUAUAGGCCCGAGUGCAAUGCUGCCCGCCCCGACCGUGGACCGCGCAUUCCGCUAGGAUGCUGGCGUAAUGGUCUUCAGCGGCCCGUCUUGAAACACGGACCAAGGAGUCUAACAUCUAUGCGAGUGUUUGGGCCACAAACCCUCACGCGUAAUGAAAGUGAACGGAGGUGGGAACCCUGUAAUGGGGCGCACCAUCGACCGAUCCUGAUGUCCUCGGAUGGAUUUGAGUAGGAGCAUAGCUGUUGGGACCCGAAAGAUGGUGAACUAUGCCUGAAUAGGGUGAAGCCAGAGGAAACUCUGGUGGAGGCUCGCAGCGGUUCUGACGUGCAAAUCGAUCGUCAAAUUUGGGUAUAGGGGCGAAAGACUAAUCGAACCAUCUAGUAGCUGGUUCCU
rnacentral:rRNA from 1 species